UGGUUAGCUCAAUUGGUAGAGCGCUCCACCUGUAAUGGAGAGGUCCCGGGUUCGAUACCCGGACCAGGCG
rfam:Ixodes scapularis strain Wikel colony gcontig_1108379434620, whole genome shotgun sequence.